rnacentral:rRNA from 1 species
AAUCCUUUAACGAGGAUCUAUUGGAGGGCAAGUCUGGUGCCAGCAGCCGCGGUAAUUCCAGCUCCAAUAGCGUAUAUUAAAGUUGUUGUGGUUAAAAAGCUCGUAGUUGGAUCUCAGUUCGAGUCAGACGGUCCACUUGCCAGUGGCUACUGCCUGACUGAACACUUUACCGAGUUGUCCUAUGGUGUUCUUCACCGAGCGUCAUAGGCGAUCGGUACGUUUACUUUGAAAAAAUUAGAGUGCUCAAAGCAGGCGUAACGCCCGAAUAAUGUUGCAUGGAAUAAUGGAAUAGGACCUCGGUUCUAUUUUGUUGGUCUUCGGAAUCAGAGGUAAUGAUCAAUAGGGACAGACGGGGACAUUCGUAUUGCGGCGCUAGAGGUGAAAUUCUUGGACCGUCGCAAGACGAACUAAAGCGAAAGCAUUUGUCAAGAAUGUUUUCAUUAAUCAAGAACGAAAGUUAGAGGUUCGAAGGCUAUCAGAUACCGCCCUAGUUCUAACCAUAAACGAUGCCAACCAGUAAUUCGUCUGAGUUCCUUAAAUGACUCGACGAGGGACUUCCGGGAAACCAAAGUCUUUCGGUUCCAGGGGAAGUAUGGUUGCAAAGCUGAAACUUAAAGAAAUUGACGGAAGGGCACCACCAGGAGUGGAGCCUGCGGCUUAAUUUGACCCAACACGGGAAAACUCACCCGGCCCGGACACUGGAAGGAUUGACAGAUUGAGAGCUCUUUCUUGAUUCAGUGGGUGGUGGUGCAUGGCCGUUCUUAGUUGGUGGAGUGAUUUGUCUGGUUAAUUCCGAUAACGAACGAGACUCUAGCCUACUAAAUAGAUCGUCGGCUUACAAACGCCGGCGAGACUUCUUAGAGGGACAGGCGGUGAUUCAACCGCACGAAACAGAGCAAUAACAGGUCUGUGAUGCCCUUAGAUGUCCGGGGCCGCACGCGCGCUACACUGAAGUGAUCAGCGUGCUUUUUCAACCUACUCUGUCAAGAGUGGGGAACCCAAUGAACCUUCUUCGUGAUUGGGAUAGGGGAUUGUAAUUAUUCCCCUUGAACGAGGAAUUCCCAGUAAGCGCGAGUCAUAAGCCCGCGUUGAUUACGUCCCUGCCCUUUGUACACACCGCCCGUCGCUACUACCGAUUGAAUGUUUUAGUGAGGUCUUCGGACUGGCCGGCGCAGCACUCUCGUAGUGCAGCGCUGUGUUUGGAAAGAUGCCCAAACUUGAACAUUUAGAGGAAGUAAAAGU